AGCAAAUAAAUACAUGAAAAAAGGUUCUUUGCUUCUUGCACGGCUUUCUCUGGUGCGCCCCGCGCAUGCGCUUGUCCUAGGCUGAAGUUGCCUUGCCCGCCCACCCCCGGGCUCCCUGCCUGGCGCUCUAACUGCUCCAGGAGUCCAUGGAGCUCCUCAGCGCUCCGUCCAGGUCUCCAGCUCCAACCGCUCUUGAGGAUUUACUCAGGGAAGACGCAUGCGCAAGCGCAGAGGCCUGGUUGACGGUUGGGGCCAACAGGGCGGUUGCAGAGUUCCUUACUCAAACCAGAGAUGAUGGGUAUUCUGACCCACCACUUCCGCAAAGCCCGAGGAACACUUCUCAUGUCUGAAAAGCGUCGUCCAGCGCCUCAGAGAAGUAGCUCCUGUCACUGAAAAGUCAGUGGCCCGCUGUGCGACACCUUCCUUGUUUUCACGUAUGAAACUUGUUAAGGCAGGUAAAGUGUCAGCCUCCAUUCAUGUGCCAACUACACUCAGUAGUGACUGCCCAAAUUGUAUAACAUGCCUUUUUGCUCAGUGUGACGUCAUGCGGUGAUUGAGUUGCAAAAAUAGGUUCCUGUGGGUGCAGGAGGCUGGCAAAAGUCAACAAUGGCGUUGUGUGAGAAGCAGUUGACUCAAAAGAAUUUGCACUAAACAGAUUCAUCUAUUGUAUUUUUAAAUUACGGUAUGCAUGUGUUAUGUCCAGAAACUUCAUUAAAUGCUGCUUUGUGCGUGUGUGUGUGUGUGUGUGUGUGUGUGUGUGUGUGUUUUGCUGGGGAGACCUUGUGUGUACUUGAGGAUGGGAAGGAAUUUUAGUUCUUGUUUUGGGAGUCAUAAAAAUUGUGGGUGCAUAUGUGCAUAGGCCGAUGCGUGGUGUUAGGGAAAGUGGUAAUAUUUGUCUGUGUGUGCAUCUUUCAAAGAAGUGUUUUUUUCUGAAGGUUUAGCAUACCUCUGUUUUAUUGGGAAACCUAAGACGAUUAUUUUUGUGUACAGGACGGGGUGUGUGGUUAUAUACUUCUUUUUCUGACCUCCAAGAUCUGUGUGUAUGUCCUUCAGUGUGUGAUGACAGGUCUAUGAUUAUUUUUUGGACUAGUAAAACAAAUGUGUGCAAUUGUGUUGUAAAUUUAGUAUGAUUCUGCAUUUUACAAGAUGGAGGAAUAUUUUUAUUUUGGAAUAUAUGGUCUUGGAUAUGCAGGUAGCAGGAGAUUGUGUAUUUGGAGAUAUUUGCAAUUUGAAGUGAGCUGGUCAAUUGUGUAGAUAUUUGAUGCUUAGGAGAGGUCCAUGUGUAUUGAAUUUGUGCAUAGUACAUCUCUCUGAUGUGUGCCCAUAUGUGUGUGUGUGUGUGUGUGUG
rnacentral:lncRNA from 1 species